rnacentral:rRNA from 1 species
AGGACGAACGCUGGCGGCGUGCUUAACACAUGCAAGUCGAGCGGUGAUCCUCCUUCGGGAGGUGAGCAGCGGCGAACGGGUGAGUAACACGUGGGCAACCUGCCCCUCACACUGGGAUAACCUCGGGAAACCGGGGCUAAUACCGGAUAUGACCUCGAGCGGCAUCUCUUGAGGUGGAAAGCUCCGACGGUGAGGGAUGGGCCCGCGGCCUAUCAGCUUGUUGGUGGGGUAAUGGCCUACCAAGGCGACGACGGGUAGCCGGCCUGAGAGGGCGACCGGCCACACUGGGACUGAGACACGGCCCAGACUCCUACGGGAGGCAGCAGUGGGGAAUAUUGCGCAAUGGGCGAAAGCCUGACGCAGCGACGCCGCGUGAGGGAUGAAGGCCUUCGGGUUGUAAACCUCUUCAGCAGGGACGAAGCGAAGUGACGGUACUGCAGAAGAAGCACCGGCUAACGUACGCGCCAGCAGCCGCGGUAA